AUGACUCGCAUGAUCAGACUAGACCUAGCAUAUGGAUUUUUUUUUUGCCUAUAUAUUUUCCUGCAGCACAACAAUGGGGACGCGCUGCUGCAGAUCCAGCUGAACAGGUACGGGUGCGGAGGUCUUGUGGUCGGGAUGUGCUCCCACCACCGUGUCGCCGACGGCCACUCCAUGAGCAUGUUCUUCACCGCGAGGGUAUGGACUUCAUCAUGCCGACCCCAUUCCUCAACCGUGCGGAAACCGCCUUGCCGCGAAGCUCGCCGACCCCGGUGUUCGACCACCGGUCAGUGGAAUUCACGUGCAGAGAAGGAACCGUCGUCCCCGUGGAGAGGAUAA
rnacentral:rRNA from 1 species